AGUGAACGCUGGCGGUAGGCCUAACACAUGCAAGUCGAACGGCAGCACAGUAAGAGCUUGCUCGUACGGGUGGCGAGUGGCGGACGGGUGAGGAAUACAGCUGAAUCUACUUUUUCGUGGGGGAUAACGUAGGGAAACUUACGCUAAUACCGCAUACGACCUACGGGUGAAAGCAGGGGAUCUUCGGACCUUGCGCGAUUGAAUGAGCCGAUGUCGGAUUAGCUAGUUGGCGGGGUAAAGGCCCACCAAGGCGACGAUCCGUAGCUGGUCUGAGAGGAUGAGCAGCCACACUGGAACUGAGACACGGUCCAGACUCCUACGGGAGGCAGCAGUGGGGAAUAUUGGACAAUGGGCGCAAGACUGAGCCAGCCAUACCGCGUGGGUGAAGAAGGCCUUCGGGUUGUAAAGCCCUUUUGUUGGGAAAGAAAAGCAGCAGGUUAAUACCCCGCUGUUCUGACGUUACCCAAAGAAUAAGCACCGGCUAACUUCGUG
rnacentral:rRNA from 1 species